UCAAUUCCAAGGCCGUCAUACGAAUUUAAUCUGAAAAUCUGCGUAGAAUUGGAAUUAAAAAUUCCACGAAUUUAUCCUAAGGAUAUUUGAAAACAGAAAAGUUUCUCUUUAUAAGCUUAAUUAUGUGAAAUGUGAUACGUUGCGAUUUGUCUUCGUAUUCAAACGGACUUUAAAGCUAAUUCGAAUGCCUAAAACAACUUGGACUCUGGCUUGAGUGCGCCCCACUUGUUGGCCCUGUCAAUUUUCUGGCCGAGUAGACCUCAAAUAGCAUUAACCUAAUGGCCAUUUGCUUGUGUAAAUAAACGAUUUGAGCUUUUUCGAAUGGAAUUGGGUCGGAUGAAGCGCGAUGAGCAAAUACUUGGGCAAGGACCUCCACCACACCUGGUGAUUAAACGCUAACUGUCUACUAACGUUCACGGUGCAUUUAUCUUCAUUUGUCGAAGGAGCCGAAGGAAAAGCAGAAGGACCUCGUCCUGCAGCAGCUGUCAACAAUUUGCCAACCGCAAAAUUGUCGAGGGAGCCAAGUGGGUGUUUGAAAUUCGGCAUAGGGAUUGGACUUGGACCACGCCUGCGAUUCUCUCGAGAAACUCACUAAUUUGCUUGAUUACUCCAGAGAAUAUCCGGCGGCUGAGAAAUUUGAAAUCUAUUAUAAAAGUUUUUUAGCCUCAAAAUGAAGGCCCACUUGGGACAGCUGGCUGAGAUGCCGUAGAAGG